rnacentral:rRNA from 1 species
AUUGAACGCUGGCGGCAUGCCUUACACAUGCAAGUCGAACGGCAGCACGGGAGCUUGCUCCUGGUGGCGAGUGGCGAACGGGUGAGUAAUACAUCGGAAUGUACCCUGAAGUGGGGGGAUAACGUAGCGAAAGUUACGCUAAUACCGCAUAUUCUGUGAGCAGGAAAGAGGGGGAUCGCAAGACCUCUUGCUUUAGGAGCGGCCGAUGUCGGAUUAGCUAGUUGGUGAGGUAAAGGCUCACCAAGGCGACGAUCCGUAGCGGGUCUGAGAGGAUGAUCCGCCACACUGAGACUGAGACACGGCCCAGACUCCUACGGGAGGCAGCAGUGGGGAAUUUUGGACAAUGGGCGCAAGCCUGAUCCAGCCAUGCCGCGUGAGUGAAGAAGGCCUCGGGUUGUAAGCUCUUCGUGGGAGAAUUGCUUCGGUUAAUACCUGAGUAGAUGACGGUA